UGACCUGCUUCUCCCAAGCUUCUGCCCUUCUUCUGCCUUCUCUGUCACCUUUUAAACCCAGGAGACUAUGGGCAAAGUCUUAAAUCUAACUAAAGCUAAUUGUAUAACUAGGCAAAAUCAAUUUGCUGACGUAACACUAACCUUCACUGCAAAUACUCCCACAUGCCACACGAUAGAUAUAGGUCAUCAGGGGCACUGCUAGAUCAUUUGGGCCCUAUGACAGAAAAUAAGUCUAGGCCCCCCGAUAAUAUAUAGUAUUGGGGGUCUCUCUGUCGGUGCUGGUCCCUUAGAAUCGUCCUAACCACCCCUACCAGUAGCUUUAGGUCAUACACUACCGUUCAAAAGUUUGGGGUCACCCAGACAAUUUCAUGUUUUCCAUGAAUAAAAGUGUGAGUUUUCAUCAAAUGAGUUGCAAAAUGAAUAGAAAAUAAAGCCAAGACAUUGACAAGACCAUCAGAUUACCUCCACCAUGCUUGACAGAUGGCGGCAGGCACUCCUCCAGCAUCUUUGGCUCAGAUAUGUUUUUUUUUUUGCCACUCUGCCUAGAAGGCCAGCAUCCUGGACUCGCCUCUUCACUGUGGACGUUGCCCGUUUGUGCUGUUCUCUGAAGGGAGUAGACAGCGUUGUAGGAAAUCUUCAGUUUUUUGGCAAUUUCUUGCAUAGAAUAGCCUUCAUUUCUCAGGACAAGAAUAGACUGUCGAGUUUCAGAAGAAAGUUCUUUUCUUCUGGACAUUUUGAGAGUAUAAUUGAACCCACAAAUGCUGAUGCUCCAGAUACUCAACUAGCUCCAAGGAAGGCCAGUUUUACAAAUUCUUGAAUCAGCACAACAGUUUUCAGCUAUGCUAAAAUAAUUGCACAAGGGUUUUCUAAUCAUCAAUUAGCCGUUAAACACGAUUAGCCAACACAAUGUACCAUUACAACACAGGAGUGAUGGUUGCUGGAAAUGGGCCUCUGUACACCUAUGUAGAUAUUCCAUUAAAAAUCAGCCGUUUCCAGCUAGAAUAGUAAUUUACCACAUUAACAAUAUCUAGGUCGUAUUUCUGAUUAAUUUAAUGUUAUCUCCAUUGAAAAA